GCGAGGGUGGCAGAGCCUGGCCAAAUGCGCAGGACUUAAGAUCCUGUCCCUUAGUGGGUUCGUGGGUUCAAAUCCCUCCCCUCGCA
rnacentral:tRNA from 1 species